rnacentral:lncRNA from 1 species
GCAAACAAUAUUGAACUCUAGAAUAUCAGGUGUCCCAAAAAGAAAAAAAAGGAUAUUAUGGAAACUUACGUGAAAGGAUUCAAUGAAGAGCGGUGCCACUCUACUUUUUUGUUAGCCUUAAUAACAAUCACGUGACAGGAAGGAGUUUCACAACUUCUUUCCCACAACGGGUAUCUGCUAAACCUCUCAAAGAUCAACGCACUGCCUGCUGAUUGUUUCCAGAGGAUUAUUAUUACUGUUGUUUGUUUGUUCACGAGACUACUUUUAGAUGAUGGGCAUCAAGACGGAUGGCAUUUAACAGCAUAUAAAGUUGAUGAGAAUCACGCAGGCAGUUUGUUUUCUCAAGCGCUCCUAUCAACCCCUUCUGAAAUCUCUGUGCUCAAAGAUGGUUGUAUUAGGGUAUUACUUAAUUUGUUCAAAGAUUUAAAUGCCAGUCAAUGUCUUACCACAAGUAGCUAAAAAGAAAUCAUGUUGUCCUUUCGUGAAGCUUGUAGGACGAAUAUGAAUGACAUAAAAGAAUGGGAGUCAUUUGUAAUUAGACCUGAC